GUAAAAGAAGUAGCUCUACCUAUAUACUUAGGAAAAUGCUAACCACCUGGAUGAUGAAAUUUCUAAUGUCAUUCCAAUGACUUACUAAGAAAUAGUACAACCCAUGAGCAGGAAGUGUCCGCUCUUAAAGGGCCUUGGAAGUGCAACAAGCAGACCAUUUCUUCUAUCAACAGAAGCACAAGAAAACUCCUGCCACUCAGAUAGACCAGCUGACCACAACUCAGCACCAAGGAACUUCUGUCCGGCAAUAUUUACUAUGACACAUGACCACCCUGCCGCCCUGCUGAGGAGAGGUUGUGCAAAUUCUCAGCCCUAGGCCCCAGCGUUGGAAGAGGGAGCCACAGUCUCACCGAUUCUUGCUUUGCCUUGUGUACUCUCAAGUGUGAAUCAUUGCUUUCAGGGCCUGGGUGGAGCUGAGCUGUUCCUACUCUCGAUUGCCAAGGAGCGCUGCUGCUAAUGAUCCAGAACCUCAGCUGGCAUUGUCCUUGGAGGAGGCCAAGAACACUGAGUCCUGAGUUCUUCUGAGGGUAACAACAGUGGAAGUCCAUCAGCUCAGCUCCUCAGUACUGACAGGAAAGACUCAGGAUGUAGAUUGGACCAGACUUUGGGCAGAACAAAGGGCAUCCUGAAUGUGACUUUGACAUGGACUCUCAGGAAGGAGGUAUCAGGAUUCCCUCUCUUGUUCCUCUAAAUCUGUGCCAUCCAACAUAUCUAAUCUCUAGAAACAUCUGGCUAUUUAAGUUAUUUAAAAUUAAAUAAAAUUUAAAAUUCACUUCCUCGGAUGUACUAACACAUCUCCAGACCCCAAGAACCACACCUGGCUAAGGGCUCCCAUCCUGAGUAAAGUAAUCACAGGACCCUGGAGUGCUGUGAAAUGCUGCUCUGGAUAUUACUGAUUAAAGUCUAAAUAAUUCAGGGCCUCUGGGACAAAGACCUGUCUCUAGAAAGCUGGUCUUCAUCAAAAUUGACACGUUGUUUUAACUCUAUAGCUGAAGAAGAAUCUCCUGUACACACUUCUUCCUUCCUUUUGAUCAACAUUCAGUCCAUCUUUCAUUGCUCAGUUAAAUUCUACCUGCUCAAUUUCCUCUAGUUUAGGUACUCAACUUCUAUAUCAUUAUAGUUACUUCACAUUCCUUCAAAUAAUUCUUUGUAAAUAUAUAAUUUCACAUCUAUAUUUUAAAUUUGCUAGUAAAAAUAAAAGCAAGAUCUUCAGAGAGCUGAACCUAUGUAUUUCAGGGGAAUGGGAAAUCUCUAUUAUUUGUUUUAAAACACAAGGAUUCAACUAGAUCAAAAUCAAGAGUGUGAGAACCAGCUGCAGAGGAGGAUGUAAAGGGCUCCUUAUCUCAUUACCUCAAACAUCCUCUGCCCCAGCAGUGAUUUCCAGUAGAGCCAAAGAUGUGGCUGCCUGUCACAGGGUCAUAAAAUUGGCACUGCCUUUUGGUUAAAGGACUGAAGAUAUAAUUACAUUAGCAAAUAAAAUUGUGAAGUCUUAUUAUGCUCUA